UACAGAGGUCCCAAGCGUUGUUCGGAUUCACUGGGCGUAAAGGGUGCGUAGGCGGUCGGGUAAGUCUGACGUGAAAUCUUCAAGCUCAACUUGGAAACUGCGUCCGAUACUACUCGGCUAGAGGAAUGGAGGGGAGACUGGAAUACUUGGUGUAGCAGUGAAAUGCGUAGAUAUCAAGUGGAACACCAGUGGCGAAGGCGAGUCUCUGGACAUUUCCUGACGCUGAGGCACGAAAGCCAGGGGAGCAAACGGG
rnacentral:rRNA from 1 species